CAGUAGCCACGGGAAUACGAAGGGUGCAAGCGUUAAUCGGAAUUACUGGGCGUAAAGGGUGCGUAGGCGGUUCGUUAAGUCUGUCGUGAAAUCCCCGGGCUCAACCUGGGAAUGGCGAUGGAUACUGGCGAGCUAGAGUGUGUCAGAGGAUGGUGGAAUUCCCGGUGUAGCGGUGAAAUGCGUAGAGAUCGGGAGGAACAUCAGUGGCGAAGGCGGCCAUCUGGGACAACACUGACGCUGAAGCACGAAAGCGUGGGGAGCAAACAGGAUUAGAUACCCCUGUAGUCCCUGUCUCUUAUAC
rnacentral:rRNA from 1 species